UGUAGCUUUCCCAUGGCAUUGACAAAAGGACCUCUAACCACUGACGAUAACCCACACCCACACCCCACCUGGCCCGUGGACUUGGUUCAUGAACAGCCAUGCCACCCAGCUCUCUUUGGUUGCAAACAUCACCCGUCAGAGCGACCAGCUUUCAUCUCUCCCACAGGCUUCAGGAGAAAUGGGAACACUUAGGAAAUGACCAGAUUCCUCAAAAGCAAAAUAAUAUACCUGAGGACAUCACCCUUAUUUUUAGCAGCUGUGCCAUAUUUCCGGUACGAUGGCAUCUGGAGAUGGAGCCUUUGGGAGGCAAUAGGAAUUAGGUCUAGACAAAGUCGCUCCAAUACUUAGGCCACCGGAUGCAAAGAGCCGACUCACUAGAAAUCACUCAUCAGCAUCACCUGAUGCUGGGAAAGAUUGAAGGCAGGAGAAGGGGACGACAGAGGAUGAUAUGGUUGGAUGGCAUCACUGACUCAAUGCACAUGAAUUUGAACAAGCUCCAGGAGAUGGUGAAGGACAGGGAAGCCUGUCGAGCUGCAGUCCACGGAGUCGCAAAGAGUGGGACACGACUGAGCGACUGAACAGCAACAACAAAAGUCAUGCGAGUGAGGUCCGCCUGGUGAGAUGAGUGUCUAAGAAGAGGAAGGGAGAGACCAGGUCCUCCUUCUCUUUACUUUUCCCUCUCCCUCUCCGUCCCACCACAUGAGGACACCAAGAAAAGGUGGUUGUCUGCAAGCCAGGAAGCAGGCCCUCACCAGGAAAAGAACCUGCCAUCUCCUUCAUCUUGGACUUCCAGCCUCCCAGACUGUGAGAAGCACGUGUCCAUCAUUGAAACGCCUAGCCUGUGGUGGUGUUCUGCUGACCUGAGCUGACGAAGACAGUGGCUUCUUCAUCACACCGUCCCUGAGGUCUGACACAGUGUCUGGCACACUAGAGGCUUGUUUAGGAAAUCAGUGCUCUGCCAUCUCACCAUCCUGACCUGGCCAAUGGGACCUGCACCUCAGUUACUCUUGGUCUGACGGACUUGGUCCUGUCCCCAUUGUGACCCAGAGCACCCAUUUGUGAGGGGGUGGUCACCUGGGGUCAGUGAACAGGCAUUCAUUCUCAUGACUUUGGUGGCCGGGGGUGGGGGGAAGAGGCAGUGGAUGGGGUGCUGCAACCAACCUCACUAACCCCAAAUCCUACCAAUACAGCUGUUUGAUUGAUCUGAUCAU
rnacentral:lncRNA from 1 species